AUUGAACGCUGGCGGCAAGCCUAACACAUGCAAGUCGAACGAGUGGCGGACGGGUGAGUAAUGUCUGGGAAACUGCCUGAUGGCGGGGGAUAACUACUGGAAACGGUAUCUAAUACCGCAUACCAUCGGAUGUGCCCAGAUGGGAUUAGCUAGUAGGUGGGGUAAAGGCUCACCUAGGCGCCGAUCCCUAGCUGGUCUGAGAGGAUGACCAGCCACACUGGAACUGAGACACGGUCCAGACUCAUACGGGGGGCAGCAGUGGGGAAUAUUGCACAAUGGGCGCAAGCCGGAUGCAGCCAUGCCGGGUGUAUGAAGAAGGCCUUCGGGUUGUAAAGUCCUUUCAGCGGGGAGGCGGUACCCGCAGAAGAAGCACCGGCUAACUCCGUGCCAGCAGCCGCGGUAAUAC
rnacentral:rRNA from 1 species